CCUGCUCCUAGAGGCAUUGCAGGUGUGGCUGCUGUGUCACAUGCACACCAGUAGGUGACAGAGAGGAAAGAAGUUUGACUAUGUUCAGUGUUCUGACCUAUGAACAUCUGAACGAUUAGUAGCCUAACAUU